GAUGAAGAACGCAGCGAAAUGCGAUACGUAAUGUGAAUUGCAAAUUCAGUGAAUCAUCGAGUCUUUGAACGCACAUUGCGCCCCCUGGUACUCCGGGGGGCAUGCCUGUCCGAGCGUCAUUGCUGCCCUCAAGCACGGCUUGUGUGUUGGGCCCCGUCCUCCGAUCCCGGGGGACGGGCCCGAAAGGCAGCGGCGGCACCGCGUCCGGUCCUCGAGCGUAUGGGGCUUUGUCACCCGCUCUGUAGGCCCGGCCGGCGCUUGCCGAUCAACCCAAAUUUUUUAUCCAGGUUGACCUCGGAUCAGGUAGGGAUACCCGCUGAACUUAAGCAUAUCAAUAAGCGGAGGA
rnacentral:misc_RNA from 1 species